CCAGAUGGAGGGAGAUAUUUACUGGAAACGGUAGCUAAUACCGCAUAAUGUCGCAAAACCAAAGUGAUCUACCUUCGGUCCUCAUGCCAUCAAAUGUGCCCAGAUGUAAUUAGCUAGUAGGUGGGGUAACGACUCACCUAAGCAACUAUCCCUAGCUGGUCUGAAAGGAUGACCACCCACACUGGAACUGACACACGAUCCACACUCCUACGGGAGGCAUGAGUGGGAAAUAUUGCAGAAUGCGCGCAAGCCUGAUGCAUCCAUGGCGCGUGUGUAAAGAACGCCUUCGGGUUGUAAAGCUCUUUCAGCGAAAAGGAAGGUGAUAAAGUUAAUAGCCAUAGCGAUUGACGUUCCCCGGAAAAACACCCCCCGGUUAAC
rnacentral:rRNA from 1 species